UUUCUGAGUGAAUUUUAAGUCAUUUCUUCAUUCUUCCCAUAUGAUUCCUUAUGAAAUACAGACUGACCUCCUGUCAGCCCUUGGUGCUAUGUGUUUGCCCCAUUAGCUGCAAAGGGACUGUACCAUUUGGAGCUGGGAUUUGUACGCAGAUCCAAUACCAAAUCUUAUAUCCAGUGCCACUCCUAGGGACCUCCAAAGGAAAGGCCUUACACAAGCUGAAAGUUUUGACCCUUGCCACCAUCUCUCUGCCCUUGUGAGCUCACAGGCAACAUGGUGAAGUAAUGAGUAGCAAGGUGACGUUUAAAAGACAACUCAACCGACUGCAGUCCUGGGGUGCCUCAUGUGGCAAAGAUGGUCCCGGAUAAUUGCAGCUCUGUACCGCCGCGGAGCUAAGCUCUCAGAGGAAAGCCCAUCCUCUGAAAGCCUCUAACUGGCCUGCUUGGACAACGCGUCCCGGAGGAGGAGACCCCAAUUUGCCAGGCAUGGUCAUGUGCACAUGCCGGGUGGGGCCUUAAACCCGCGCUUCAGACCGACUGGAUCGGAGGGAGUAGCGGGAGCUCAGUGAAACGUCAAGAGAAAGGAUCUCUGACCAGAAGACCAGGGGGUGAGGAAGGCGCCGGGAGGGAUCAAAGAGUGAAUGAAGUGAGAUUGAUCCAGCCCUUAAGCCUAAAGUCUUAAGAGGCUUUCACAUGUCAGUAGAUGCUAUCCUGGUAAAUAAAAGAAAUUCAUUGACAAGCCUUCCUGGUAAU